UCUUCGAUAUGGUUUUAAACGAGAAGCUAUUUAAAAAUUCUGGUGAUGAGAAGUUCGCUAAAUUAUUCACAUUCUUAAAUGAAUUUGAUGCUGUCUUGUGUAAAUUUCAAGUUGUUGACUCAAUGCAUACAAAAAUUUUUAACGACACCCUGAAGUAUCUGAACGUAAUGCUAUUUAAUGACCUAAUAACCAAAUGUCCCGCGUUAAAUUGGAAGUAUGGGUACGAAGUGGAUAGAAAUAUCGAGCGGUUGGUGAGCUGGUUUGAACCAAGAAUUGAAGACGUUCGUCCCAAUUUGAUUCAAAUAAUUCAGGCUGUCAAGAUAUUACAGUUGAAGAUAAGCAACUUGAACGAGUUCAAGUUACUAUUCGAUUUCUGGUAUGCCUUGAAUCCAGCCCAAAUACAAGCAAUUCUGUUGAAAUACAAGCCUGCUAACAAGGGCGAAGCUGGAGUACCGAACGAAAUCUUGAAUUAUUUAGCUAACGUGAUCAAAAGAGAAAAUCUGUCUUUGCCAGGGAAGAUGGAAAUUAUGCUUUCUGCCCAAUUUGACUCUGCUAAAAACCAUCUGCGUUAUGACACUAGUGCAAUAACACAGAACAGCAAUACAGAGGGCUUAGCUACUGUCAGUAAAAUUAUAAAAUUAGACAGAAAAUAAGAACAAAGUAAAUAUACGCCCAUAUAUGUAUAUAUGUAUAUAUACAUAUAUCCUACACUACAUAUGGAAGCUCCCUAUAUAUAUAGCAUUGCGAGUGAACUUCUAUCGACUAAAGUGAACAGCAAUGGGGACGAUGAUUACAACAAGCAAUAUGAUGAUUACUAAAGCCAGACACAUCUUCAUUUUUAGAUCCUUGUACCACAUGGCUUUUCUGACCCUAUUGGCACCCCUCUUAAAGCCUUGGGCUGAGACCGCUAGGUUAUCGGCUUUAUCUUCAAUGGACGUUAAUCUUUCACCUCUUUCUGCUACUUUAUUUAUGUUAUCUCUCAUUAUUCCCACGGUAUCAUCAAUUUCCUAAAAAUAAACACGAAGAACGUAUAUGAAUGUAUACGCAUAAGUAUCAACGAUGUAGAAAGUUAGUAUAAUGUUAAUUUCCUAGAUGGUACUCUGUGGCUUUCUGUACUUACAGCUUGUAGUUCCGCAGUCCUUGACUUAGACUGUACAUUCUGGGGUCGUUCUUCAUCGUGCUCGGAUAGAGCAUAAGGGUCAAAGGGAGUAGAUGACGACAUGGACAAUGAAUACGUUGCGCUUGCUAUGUCUUUGGCGCAAAUUUUCAAUGUUUAACUAAUACUUUUGACGAUCUUUCUUAUAGAUGCUGUGGGAAAGACCCUUAAAAAUGUCUGUUACCCUGCAAUCAAUGGUUGAAACAGCAGGAAGACGCAUAAUAAAGGCAUAUGUUUGAAGUUUGUUAGCGAAUGAACAAUGAUAAAAGGAGUGAUUGGAAGCUGAAGGUUGAGGAUUUAGACUAGUUUUAUAUUACAACAUGGUAGAUGUGCAAAAGAGAAAAAAGUUGCUAGCCAAAGCUGCUGCCAGCGCUUCUAUUCCGGCAAUCAAAGGUUCUGUUCCGUUGGACUCGUAUGAUAUAAAAAUCAUUCAAUAUAAGAACGCUCUUUACAAGCUGAAUGAACUGAAUAGGCUACUAAACGUUCUGGUACCGCAUUUGAAGAAGAAAAGAGACAAUGACGAGUCCUACAAAAUUAUUCCCCUCGUUAAUUUCAUCUUAUCACUUUGUGAGGGUCCUAUAUUUAAUGUAAGCCCCGUAUUGGCUAAGAGGUACCAUUUGCUCUGUCGAUUCCAGCUGAUAAAGCUAAGCGAAGUGCAGCAGAGAUUAUCAACUAAUUUUAUUGAUGUAGAGGGCUGGAUGUUUCCCGAGGAGGUACCCCUAGAUCACUAUAAAUCGUGCAUAUACAAUAAUUCUCUACAAUGGAAGAUUUUAAAUUCGCUG
rnacentral:misc_RNA from 1 species